rnacentral:rRNA from 1 species
UACGAAGGGGGCUAGCGUUGCUCGGAAUCACUGGGCGUAAAGGGUGCGUAGGCGGGUCUUUAAGUCAGGGGUGAAAUCCUGGAGCUCAACUCCAGAACUGCCUUUGAUACUGAAGAUCUUGAGUUCGGGAGAGGUGAGUGGAACUGCGAGUGUAGAGGUGAAAUUCGUAGAUAUUCGCAAGAACACCAGUGGCGAAGGCGGCAUCCUGGACCAACACUGACGCUGAGUGAGCGAAAGCCAGGGGAGCAAACGGG